UGUUGCUGGGGACGAGGCUAGUGGCUAACGAGUUCGUUGAGUGGAUUCUGUUGCUGAGGUGAGCUGCCGCAUUAUUCGUGGAGGCCGAUAUUUCAGCUCUACCUAUCUUAUGUUUAUUAUUUCUUUCGGAUUUGCAUGCCCGUCGGUUAAACUUCUAUUACUCUGUUAGAUACUCCAUGGUCUUAGUAUGGGAUUUGGGUUAGAGAUUCAUUGUUUGAGUGCUCAUUAGAAAUUAUAAAUAAAUUAUAAUUUUAGUUGGAUAAUUAUUUCGUAUUUAGUAAUAUUUAAUGCGUUUGGACUUUUACAUGUUUCUCUCAGUGCUUAUAUAAAAGGUUAAGAGUACAGGAAUUGGUUUGCCUGGCGAGUAGUGUUAGCUGGGUGCCAGUCACAUCUAGGGGGUAGUUUUGGACGUGACAGUUCGCGAUGGUUAGGCCUGCUAAGGAUUUGGGAGCAGAAGCUGGUUGUGAUUCGCGAAUGCGAGGGACUUGUCACGUUCGCAAAGAAGGGCGUCUGGGCAGAUUAUAACCUUGCUAGGUCAAGAUUUUCUCAUUUUCAACUCAUUUCCCUCUUGCUUGGGCAAUUUUCGGAUGAUUUGGAAGAGCCAUUUUCAUCAUUAAUCUCGAGAAUCUGACAGGUUCAUUUGGUGGCCAUCUUGGCGCGCAUGCACAACUGCUGAGGGGACUUUAUGGUGAGCUACUUUCUACGCUACGUACCGCAGCACACAGAGUCUCCAUCGUAUUACUUACUUUGUCCUGUCUAAUUUUCAUUCCAGACAGAUGUUGUAUUAUUGUACUCCUUAGUAAAUAAUCAUGCAUUUGUGACACCGGAUUUUGGGGUAUCCUAGUUGAUGUUUAUGGAUUUGCA